CUAGACAGGAGCAGCCCACCAGGAAACGCUCCGGUGGAUACCCCCGACGAAUUGGCACCCAAUUCGAAUGCCUUAUUUACCUAACGGUAGUGCCGGCUCUGUGUGUACUGCUAACACAGUGAGGAGGAAUGGUUUUUGAACCUGAGCACAUAAAUGAAGCACCAAUUUAAAUGUGUCCUCUCAUAACGUUCCCCACCAUUGUCAUUCUCUGUCUUCCUUCUUCUAUUGAAUUAAAAUAUUACAUGUGUACAGAUUUCAAC